rnacentral:lncRNA from 1 species
AAUUGGCUUAUGUGUUUAAUGCAAUUCCUGUAAAAAUUCUAGAAAGUAUUUUGUUUUGUUUAUAUUUUUGUAAAAAUGGGCAAUCAGAUUUUAAGACUAAUGGAAUGCAAAGAGUCUCAAUUAGCCAAGCUAUUCUAAAAAGAACAAAAUUUGAAGACAUUACAUAAAUUAAGAGAGUAUGGCAUUGGCACUUGGAUAGACAGGAAUGUAAUACAUAUAUUGGUCUAUCAGUCAGAAAACAAAACACUGUAAAAAAUUAAAAUCAUUUCAAAUUAGUAGAAUUUUAGUCAUGUUUUUUGUUGUUGUUGGAUAACAUGGCAGAACGAGUCUACCAGAUCAAUAAUUUCACUUCCUUUACUGCAUCCUGUUGACCAGGUCCAGCUUCCACUUCAAAGUUACCUCACGUUGUCCACAUUGAUACUGCCGCAAAAAAAUGAAGUAAUAUUUCUCAAGGACAUAUUGCUUGAAUUAGAAGAAAAAAAUUUCCAUAAGAUUGCCCAAGAAAAGAACAUAUGUGUUCA